CACUGUCCCUCAGGAUGGAAUGGAGCUGGGUCAUCCUCUUCCUCCUGUCAGUAACUACAGGCAUCCACCCCCAGGUCCAGCUGCUGCAAUCUGAGGCUGAGCUGGGGAGACCUGGGACCUCAGUGAAGCUGUCCUGCCAGGUUUCUGGCUACACCUUCACUGAUAAUGCUGUGCACUGGGUGAAGCACAGGCUUGGACAGAGGCUGGAGUGGAUUGCAUACAUUUAUCCUGGAAGUGGUAGUACUACCUUCAAUGAGAAGUUCCAGGGCAAGGCCACACUGACUGCAGACACAUCCUCCAGCACAGCCUACAUGGAGCUCCGCAGCCUGAUAUCUGAGGACUCUGCGGUCUAUUACUGUGCAAGACACAGUGCUGCAACCACAUCCUGA